AGAUUUAGCCUAAACUAAAAACACACACCAGAGAUCCUAAACUAAAUAAUUUUAUGUCUUCAUCUUUUGUCAUGUGGAGGAAAAAAGAUGAUUCUUGAGAAGCAUACUUUUAUCAAGUGGAGGAAAAAUUGAUUUCUGGAAGCAUAUUUUGAAACUUUCCACUAAAAUAAUUAUUCCUGAAGCUUUUAGAUGAAAUAACCAUAGAAACAAGUUUCUUCUUUUCUGGAUGAUUGGCCAC
rnacentral:lncRNA from 1 species